rnacentral:lncRNA from 1 species
AAACACUGGGUGGGCAGGCCGUGCCCGAACCUUUCGGCUGGGCUUCCGCACUUGUAGAACAUUGGUUUAUGCAGGGACCAUGUGACACGGUAACAGAGAGCUCAGAUCUCUAAAUCUCGUUUUCCUUUGUGUCAUCCUCCCUCCACCCCCUCCUGGAUGGUGAGUCACCCGUCUCUGCAAAAAAGAUCCACAGUUCAGUGAUGUCCUAGGUGACAGCCGCAUGCUCUGCCUUGGAGAUUCCGCGCACAUCGAGUGUGAUCGACCGAGAUAACAGAGGUUGGAAAAAUCUGUGAAAGGGUUGAGCUGUUCCUCAGAUGUGGGACAUUAUUUCCACAGGUUCGACAGUCUGAAGCAUGAAUAUUACUCACUGAAACACUGCCAUAAGAAUUAGGAAAAGAAAUCAGGACCGAUUUUUUCAGGCUAAAUUUAAAUAUGGAAUUCAGCAACCGAAGAACUCUCUUGGUCAGAUCCAGCAGUCAUGACCAGGAAGUCCAGUUCUGCUGGUAUC